rnacentral:rRNA from 1 species
GGACGAACGCUGGCGGUGGCUAAAACAUGCAAGUCGACGCUUUUUCUUUCACCGGAGCUUGCUCCACCGAAAGAAAAGGAGUGGCGAACGGGUGAGUAACACGUGGGUAACCUGCCCAUCAGAAGGGGAUAACACUUGGAAACAGGUGCUAAUACCGUAUAACAAUCGAAACCGCAUGGUUUCGGUUUGAAAGGCGCUUUUGCGUCACUGAUGGAUGGACCCGCGGUGCAUUAGCUAGUUGGUGAGGUAACGGCUCACCAAGGCAACGAUGCAUAGCCGACCUGAGAGGGUGAUCGGCCACAUUGGGACUGAGACACGGCCCAAACUCCUACGGGAGGCAGCAGUAGGGAAUCUUCGGCAAUGGACGCAAGUCUGACCGAGCAACGCCGCGUGAGUGAAGAAGGUUUUCGGAUCGUAAAACUCUGUUGUCAGAGAAGAACAAGGAUGAGAGUAAAAUGUUCAUCCCUUGACGGUAUCUAACCAGAAAGCCACGGCUAACUACGUGCCAGCAGCCGCGGUAAUACGUAGGUGGCAAGCGUUGUCCGGAUUUAUUGGGCGUAAAGCGAGCGCAGGCGGUUUCUUAAGUCUGAUGUGAAAGCCCCCGGCUCAACCGGGGAGGGUCAUUGGAAACUGGGGAACUUGAGUGCAGAAGAGGAGAGUGGAAUUCCAUGUGUAGCGGUGAAAUGCGUAGAUAUAUGGAGGAACACCAGUGGCGAAGGCGGCUCUCUGGUCUGUAACUGACGCUGAGGCUCGAAAGCGUGGGGAGCAAACAGG